GCCUAACACAUGCAAGUCGAACGAAGUAGCAAUACUUAGUGGCAGACGGGUGAGUAACAUGUAGGUAUCUACCCUUUGGCCUGGAAUAACACGAGGAAACUUGUGCUAAUACCGGAUAAGUCUUUACGGAGAAAGCUUUAUGCACCAUUGGAUGAGCCUGCACUUGAUUAGUUUGUUGGUGGGGUAAUGGCCUACCAAGACUGUGAUCAAUAGCUGAUUUGAGAGGAUGAUCAGCCACAUUGGGACUGAGACACGGCCCAAACUCCUACGGGAGGCAGCAGUGGGGAAUCUUGCACAAUGGAGGAAACUCUGAUGCAGCGAUGCCGCGUGAGUGAAGAAGGCCCUUGGGUUGUAAAGCUCUUUCGUCGGGGAAGAAAAUGACUGUACCCGAAUAAGAAGGUCCGGCUAACUUCGUGCCAGCAGCCGCGGUAAUACGAAGGGACCUAGCGUAGUUCGGAAUUACUGGGCUUAAAGAGUUCGUAGGUGGUUGAAAAAGUUGGUGGUGAAAUCCCAGAGCUUAACUCUGGAACUGCCAUCAAAACUUUUCAGCUAGAGUUUGAUAGAGGAAAGCAGAAUUUCUAGUGUAGAGGUGAAAUUCGUAGAUAUUAGAAAGAAUACCAAUUGCGAAGGCAGCUUUCUGGAUCAUUACUGACACUGAGGAACGAAAGCAUGGGUAGCGAAGAGGAUUAGAUACCCUCGUAGUCCAUGCCGUAAACGAUGUGUGUUAGACGUUGGAAAUUUAUUUUCAGUGUCGCAGCGAAAGCGAUAAACACACCGCCUGGGGAGUACGACCGCAAGGUUAAAACUCAAAUGAAUUGACGGGGACCCGCACAAGUAGUGGAGCAUGUGGUUUAAUC
rnacentral:rRNA from 1 species